GCGCUCACUUUAGCAGCACAUAUACUAAAAUUGGAACAAUACAGAGAAGAUGAACAUUGUCCCUGUGCAAAGAUGACACACUAAUUUGUGAAAUGAUCUAUAAAACA
ensembl:snRNA U6 U6 spliceosomal RNA